GAUGAACGCUAGCGGCGGGCCUAAUACAUGCAAGUCGAACGGUGCAGCAAUGCAUAGUGGCAGACGGGUGCGUAACGCGUAUGCAACCUACCUUUUAUCGGGGGACAACAUUUCGAAAGAAGUGCUAAUACCGCGUAAGAUAGUAGUGGGACAUCCCACAGCUAUUAAACUUUCGGGGAUAGAAGAUGGGCAUGCGUCUGAUUAGCUAGUUGGCGGGGUAACGGCCCACCAAGGCGACGAUCAGUAGGGGAACUGAGAGGUUGAUCCCCCACACUGGCACUGAGAUACGGGCCAGACUCCUACGGGAGGCAGCAGUAGGGAAUAUUGGGCAAUGGACGGAAGUCUGACCCAGCCACGCCGCGUGCAGGAGGAAGGCGCUCUGCGUUGUAAACCGCUUUAGCAGGGGAAGAAAAGACUCAUGCGUGAGGAAUUGACGGUACCCUGAGAAUAAGCACCGGCUAACUACGUGCCAGCAGCCGCGGUAAAAGUAUCGUACG
rnacentral:rRNA from 1 species